AUAUUUUACAAAUAAAGUAUAUUUGUCCAAAAAAGAGAUGGUUCUCCCAGGACGAGUCCAGCUCAUUGCAUUUCGGGUGUGCUGACACCUUCGAUGUCCCCAAAUGCGGGAUUCUCCACUGUAAAAUUUAUGGUAGCGGGUGGACUGCGUUCGCGCUCUCCCCUG